CCCUCUCCUGCUUGAUGGAGUCUACAGUCCAUACCAGUGAUGGGGAACCUAUGGCACAUGUGGUGUAGCUAGCUGUUUGUUAUUGAAAGGUUCACUACCACUGGUCCAGACUCUUCAUCAGUGAGCCCAGAAACCAGAACCCAGAGCCAACCAAGUUGGUUCCGAUCACCUCCCCACCCCACCCCAGAAUGUACCUACCUCUCUGCCCCUGCCCACCCAGGAAGCCAUGCUCUGGGCAAACACACAGGACAAUGCUCUGCACACCAUUAAUGUUGCCCUCUCAGUCUGGGUGUGGAUCUCAGUGCAGAGCUAUUCUACAGCUGGGAAAACUGAGACCAGGGAGGUUAAGGAAUAUCAGCCACAGUUCAACAGCUGUGCGGGGGCGGGGAGGGGGGGGAGUCCACGCAGCUGGUUGCUGUUGACACUGGGGUUGAUGCAUGGCUGUAGAACCAAGCUCCCUGUUCUUUCCUUCCUUUCUAUUGAGGAAGAGAGAUUAUUUCAUGACCUGUAUUUGACAGAAGGCUAGAUGGAAGCCAUCAAAUGGAGAUGCCCCUCUGGGCUCCUUAGAUCAGGGACAUUUCAUGUAUGAAGCUGGAUAAAUGGAAGCAGCACAAAUUGACAACAGCUGACCAUGAGUGUCAUUGCAUACACAACACACACCCUUCCAGGAAGCAUUGAUGGAGCUUUAAAUAGAACAUGGGCUAUUGAAGAAUGGUGCAUUUAUCUUCCUUUGUUCCUUCUUCCCUCCUUCCCUCCCUUCCUUCCUUCCUUCCUUUCUUCCAUCCUUUCUUGGUCUCAGUGUCGGUAUUAGGAUGUGGGGGCCUUUGGGAGGUGAUUAGGUCAUGUGGGUGGGGCCCCUAUAAAGGGGAUUAGUACCCUUGUAAAAGCAGCCCCAUGGGACCCUCACCCAUCCACCAUGGAGGCCAUAGCACGAAGGCUCCACCUACAAGUCAGAAGUGGGCCCUUGCCAGACACCUUGACCUUCAACAUCUAACUUCCAGAACUGUGAAGAAUAAAUUUCUAUUGUUUUUAAGUUAUCCCCUUUACAGCAUUUUGUUAUAGCAGUUCAAACAGUUUGAGGACUUUUCCUUUCUUCUUAAUUUCUCUUUCUUGUUUGCUUCAGUGCUCGCUCUUUCUUUCUUUCUUUCUUUCUUUCUUUCUUUCUUUCUUUCUUUCUUUGAGGAAGCUGCGGGAUGGACAUAGUAAUGUCUUGCUUUUCUGGCUUUGUGCCAGGAUUAGAACACAGACCUACCCAGCCCUACCCUGGAGUUCAACCCAACUACCUGUGUCCCUCCCCUCCUGUGUUAUGUGCUCUGGCUGGCUUUUCUGUCCUUGCAGUAGCAGCCAUCUCUGCCGUAAUCGACACCUGCACACCUCACUGGCCUACCGGACUUCAGUCACUCAAACAUUGGGCCCAUCUUUCCACCCAGAAGAAAUUCUCUGAAUGGAAUUUUGUAUUGAUCUAAAAGCCAGAUUCUGCACAUGGAACCAAUAGCAUUCCAGGCUGUCUGGUUCCACUCAUGAGCUAAGUGUUACUUAAGAUCCGUGUUCCAGUUCCAGUCUGGCUCUAGUGAGGAUGUUCUCAAGCUGAAGAAUUUCAGAGUGAAGCCAGGGACCCUUGGGCCUGUUGUUGGGUCCAUCCCUUAGCAGUCUCCCAGACUGUGGUGGCAUCCUGCUGCGAACACUGCCUGGGACAGAGGCUGUCCCUUUUCGGGUGGGGAAAUGUCACCUCAAGGCAUCCAGGACAGCAUGCUUGGUUCUCAAAGGCACCUGCCACACUGGCAUCGUCAUCUGUCUUCGGUGGCAGCUACUUCUGGUGGACAGGAUGAGGAGUGCUACCCAUCAAUUAAGAGAAAUGGCCCGUGAAGAGAUGGUUUUGCUCAGCAGAGUACAACGCUUUCAGAAUCACCCUGGCAAAUAAUGAUGCAUCGAUCCAGAAGCCCAGCCCUCUGACUCAGCAAGCUGAUAAGUGAUGGAGUGUGGAGGGGAGGAACAUGGGAAACCCUGGAGGGGCCAUCUGGCCCUUCAUGCUCUGCACUUCCAUGCGCUGGCCUCACCAGUGUCACCUGGGGCUUAGCCUCACCCUUGUCCUUCUGAAGAGACCCGCUGGGGACACAGCUCAGCACGACUCUUUUGAACACAUGCAUUGGAGUCAGAAAUACUGACCUUGAUGCGCCGGGGUACUUGACAUCCCUGACAUCUCCAGGCCCAACCCAUGGAAGUGGGAUCAACAGGCCUGCUUCCAUCUCCCCCCAGGAGCAUGGUGACACCCACUGUGACCUUCAGUAGAAAAGUGCUUUGGAAAGGACAAAAUUCCCCCACUGAUGGGGAUCAGGAGGAUUCUCAGAAUAUGGGGAUUGAAAAGAGAGGCUAAGGGUAAAUAUUCUAGAAUGAGGCAUAGUAAUGUCAGAAAACCAUUCUACUUCUAAGAGGAAAAAACAUCGCUGAGGCCUGUUAACGAGAAGGAAAGAUUUCCAAACUGUAUUUAAGUGUGGAUUUGGAUGGACACCAGCUCUGGGACCACCCCAAGGCCCUUUCUAUCUGUCUGACUGGACUCCCUGUGAUGUGUGUCAUCCACUGUGAAGUGGCUGCCUGGGAGGCUUGAAAAGAAAAUCCCAAUUGUCUUCUUUUUCUUUAUCUAUAGAUGACAGUUUUCCAGCAGGUUGAAAACUGUGGUCUGUCGAAGGAGGUUGGAGGCAGAGGGAACGCUCUCCUUUGGCUGGACAUCUGCUAACACAGUCUGCCUUCUGAUUCUUUUUUCAAUCCCAAAGCAUAUUUCCUACAGGCAAGAAGCAGCUCUUCACCAAUGAGUACUGGAGCUAGACAGGGUGGAGGAGACCCAGGCCUGCAAACUGGGGGGGCUCUGCACUGGCAGUGGCCUUGAGCAUAAGAAAAUGCGCUCUGGUGCUCCAGCUCCUCUUUACUGGGAUGAUUAAAUGUAGAAAAAGAAAGGAGGAAGAAGGAGUGAGGAAGGAAGGGAAAAGAAAGUAAAAAGCAUCUAAACUUAAUGAGGUCUCUUGGAUUGUAUCCUGAAACAGGACAGGAACAUUAAUGAAAUCCAAAUUAAGUUGUGGUUUAAUCAUGGUACAGUAAUAUUAACUUUUAAAUGGGGACAGAAGUACCUUGAUCACCUAAGAUGAUAAACAGCAGGGGGACCUGGGGGACAAUUUAGGGGACUCUAUACUAUUUUUGCAAUUUUUCUGUAGAUCUAAACUUGCUCCAAAACAAAAAUUCAUUUAAAAAAUAUAAAGUGCUUAGAACAAUGCCUGGCAUAAAGCAAGCACUUGAUAAACAUCGACUACUAUGUAAUGAUGCCAUUCAAUUCUAACCACUAUCACUCAGUCAUUAAUUAUUUUCCAGAGAGUAUCACACUUUUCUGCCAGCCCUGAGGCCCUUCCUCCUGGGGCCAUUAUUGACCCCUCCCCUUUGCCCUUCCUUCUUAAUACCAAGACCUUACUUUUAGCUAUUCUAUUUUCAGGUUUAUUGUCUCUAGGUUGCACGUUGUAAGUUGCUCCAGUUUCCUUGCGAGUCACUAGGAUAUCGAUUAAUAAUUAAAAUACGCAUAAGUGGAUGAAUCGGCUUUUCCCUGCUCCACACACCCAGGGUAAACCCUUCCCAAUCUGCUGCAAGCUGGGCCACCUUGUCUCUCUGCCUUCCCACCAGGUGGCUGCAACUGAGGAGGGGGGUGCACAUGAAUGGGAGGCUCUAGGCACCAGGGGUUGAGGCAGGAAGGGGGGUGGGAUGGUGGCCUUGGGGCCAAUGGCCAUCCUGAUCUCAGGAUCUUGGGCCCUUGUCUAAGGACAGGAGA